rnacentral:misc_RNA from 1 species
GAAGCUUUGCGACUGUCACAUAUUUCAGAGGAAGAGCAUGAUAUAAAGCCAGUGAGCUUAGGUCUCCAUAAACCCCACCUCAGCAGAAACACAGGAAAACUCACCCUUAUGUACAUCUGAUCAUCGAUCCGGGGAGCUUUGUUACCAAUUGGAAUUGCUGGGCCAUCCGUUUCCUCUUUCACCACAUUGAACUCAAAAUCAGAUUUCUUUUGCUUGUCUUUGGUGUAGGUAUCUGUUCCAGUUUUUGAUAAAACACCUUCUUUUACAAGCUUGUCCAUAAUUUCUUCAGUCAAAACUACUGAGAUAUCAGGGAAAUUGGAAAGAACGUCAUUAAGCCCAACAGUAUCAAGGUGAUGAAUAGUGAUCCAUUCCUUCACCCUAGCCAAUUGCUGUUCAUCCUCCUCUGGAUCCUGAGUAUCAUCUUCAUGAACCAUGUCAUUGUCUUCCUCUGCUCGUCCCUUUUCCACUGGCGCAACUACAUAUCGAUUUUCUUGCGAUUGGUUAACCUCACUGUCAGAUUCAAAAGAAUCGUCCUUCUGUAGAGAAUCAGCUCCCAAGCUCACUUCAUCUUCUUCCAUAUCAUCAUUUUCAUCAUCACAAGGAUCGAGUACACUCUUUACCUUG